AGUGAACGCUGGCGGCGUGCUUAACACAUGCAAGUCGAACGAGAACGGGUUAUAGCUUGCUAUAAUUGUCAGCUAAGUGGCGCACGGGUGAGUAAUGUAUAGGUAAUAUGCCUCUUACUAAGGGAUAACAAAUGGAAACGUUUGCUAAUACCUUAUACUCCUUUUAAACAGAAGUUUAAAAGGGAAAGAUUUAUUGGUAAGAGAUUAGCCUGUAUUGUAUCAGUUAGUUGGUGGGGUAAUGGCUUACCAAGACUAUGACACAUAACUGGUUUGAGAGGAUGAUCAGUCACACUGGAACUGAGACACGGUCCAGACUCCUACGGGAGGCAGCAGUGGGGAAUAUUGCACAAUGGACGGAAGUCUGAUGCAGCAACGCCGCGUGGAGGAUGACACAUUUCGGUGCGUAAACUCCUUUUAUAAGAGAAGAUAAUGACGGUAUUAUAUGAAUAAGCACCGGCUAACUCCGUGCCAGCCGCCGCGGUAA
rnacentral:rRNA from 1 species